CUUCCUUCUUAACUCUGACUCAAUAAUGCAAGUUAUAGAGACGGGUGACCGACUGAAACACACCGUUACUGUGAGCAAGAUUACACGUUUCUCUGGAUUUGAAUGUUUCGGAAUCAUGUGGGAUUAUGUGAAGGAACCUGCACCUGCAAGCAUGCAGUUAUGAGACGACAGGAAUGUGCAGCAGAUCCAGCGAGGCAACCAGCCAAAUAAGUGUCGAAAGGAAGGAGUCUGUUAAACACAUAGAGGAACAACAACCCCCCCAAAAAUCCUUCUGAGACUCAAACACCUUUUUACACCAGGAAAAGACUCGAACGACAGUAUGGAGGUGAUUUACAGCAGUUCUGACCAAGACUAAGACUCCCGUGACGAGAAGACACCGCAGAAAUGUAGCGACAACCACUGGCUGAAAUUCACUUUAUGUGGCAUUGCA